rnacentral:rRNA from 1 species
GCAAGUCGAGCGAGAAAGUUCCUUCGGGAAUGAGUAGAGCGGCGAACGGGUGAGUAAUGCAUAAGAAUCUGCCUUUUAGUGAAGGAUACCUUUGGGAAACUGAAGUUAAUACUGCAUAUGUCCCUUCGGGGAGAAAGAUGGCCUCUUGCUGUCGCUAAAAGAUGAGCUUAUGUUCUAUUAGUUUGUUGGUGGGGUAAAGGCCUACCAAGACGAUGAUGGAUAGCCGGCCUGAGAGGGUGAAC